GACGAACGCUGGCGGCGUGCUCAUACAUGUUCAAGUCGAACGCUUGUGUUUUCCCCGGAGCUUGCUCCACCGAAAACAAAAGAGUGGCGGACGGGUGAGUAACACGUGGGUAACCUGCCCUCAAGCGGGGGAUAACACUUGGAAACAGGUGCUAAUACCGCAUAACAAUCAGAAUCGCAUGAUUUUGAUUUGAAAGGCGCUUUUGCGUCACUUGAGUGAUGGACCCGCGGUGCAUUAGCUAGUUGGUGAGGUAACGGCUCACCAAGGCCACGAUGCAUAGCCGACCUGAGAGGGUGAUCUGGCCACACUGGGACUGAGACACAGGCCCAGACUCCUACGGGAGUGCAGCAGUAGGGAAUCUUACGGCAAUGGACGAAAGUCUGACCGAGCAACGCCGACGUGAGUGAAGAAGGUUUUACGGAUCGUAAAACUCUGUUGUUAGACGAAGAACACGGGUGAGAGUAGAACGUUACACCCCUUGAACAGGUAUCUAAACCAGAAAGCCACCGGACUAACUACGUGACCACAAAGGACGCGGUAAUACGUACAGGUGGCCAAGCGUAGUCCGGAUUUCAAUUUGGGCGUAAAGCGAGACGCAGGGCAGGGACUCUUAAG
rnacentral:rRNA from 1 species